UGUUCGGCCAGAACGCGCCCGCUCAUAACGGUGUUGUCGUCGGUUCGAAUCCGGCCGGGCCCACCA
rnacentral:tRNA from 1 species